GACGAACCGUGCGAACGUUAUUCGGAAUCACUGGGCUUAAAGCGUGUGUAGGCGGAUCGUUAAGUGCCUUGUGAAAUCCCACGGCUCAACCGUGGAACUGCUUGGCAUACUGGCGGUCUUGAGCAACCUAGGGGCGAGCGGAACAAAUGGUGGAGCGGUGAAAUGCGUAGAUAUCAUUUGGAACGCCAAUGGUGAAAACAGCUCGCUGGGGGUUUGCUGACGCUGAGACACGAAAGCCAGGGGAGCAAACGGG
rnacentral:rRNA from 1 species